AUGAGGACAGAAAGGUCUGGUUGUAAACACUGGAGUGGAGUGGAGCCAGAAGGAAGAGGCACCUCUGUUCUUCAGGAAACAUUUAAACAACCAGGAAAACAAGGAAACCACAAACACUUAACUGUUUUCUUCAACCUCAG
rnacentral:lncRNA from 1 species